GGUUUUAUGCAUGUCAGUUAACCCCUCUGCAUAUAUAAUUCCUCAUCUGUAGAGAGGUGCACCAUGAUGUAAUUCCUGGCUUAUAUGAACACUGUUGGACAGAGAAUCUUCUAGUUAAUAUCUGCAGCUCUGCAGCGAUAAUGUUUCAUGACUUCAACAAGUAACCACUUCUCAGAGACUUUUGGUCCCCUUUCUAUUUGCAAGAGAUAUAUCUCCCUUUCCCUUUCACCGAUCUUUUAUUUUGCCCUUUUUUUGUGAAGAAGCAAUAGAUGGAUGGAGGGGAGGAUCGGAAGAGGAAGAAGAAAUGGAAAGAAUGAGGUGUAUUAUCUACAUACCAACUCCCCCUAUGAGUGUGAUCAUUAUGUACUGCAAACAUGCCCA
rnacentral:lncRNA from 1 species